rnacentral:rRNA from 1 species
UGGGGAAUUUUGGACAAUGGGCGAAAGCCUGAUCCAGCAAUGCCGCGUGUGUGAAGAAGGCCUUCGGGUUGUAAAGCACUUUUGUCCGGAAAGAAAUCCUUGGCUCUAAUACAGUCGGGGAUGACGGUACCGGAAGAAUAAGCACCGGCUAACUACGUGCCAGCAGCCGCGGUAAUACGUAGGGUGCAAGCGUUAAUCGGAAUUACUGGGCGUAAAGCGUGCGCAGGCGGUUUGCUAAGACCGAUGUGAAAUCCCCGGGCUCAACCUGGGAACUGCAUUGGUGACUGGCAGGCUAGAGUAUGGCAGAGGGGGGUUAGAAUUCCACGUGUAGCAGUGAAAUGCGUAGAGAUGUGGAGAAAUACCGAUGGCGAAGGCAGCCCCCUGGGCCAAUACUGACGCUCAUGCACGAAAGCGUGGGGAGCAAACAGGAUUAGAUACCCUGGUAGUCCACGCCCUAAACGAUGUCAACUAGUUGUUGGGGAUUUCAUUUCCUUAGUAACGUAGCUAACGCGUGAAGUUGACCGCCUGGGGAGUACGGUCGCAAGAUUAAAACUCAAA